UACAGAGGUGGCAAGCGUUGUUCGGAAUUACUGGGCGUAAAGGGCGCGUAGGCGGCCUUGUAAGUCCUGUGUGAAAUCCCCCGGCUCAACUGGGGAACUGCACAGGAGACUGCUUGGCUUGAGUUCGGGAGAGGGAAGCGGAAUUCCGGGUGUAGCGGUGAAAUUCGUAGAUAUUCGGAAGAACACCAGUGGCGAAGGCGGCUCACUGGACUGGUAUUGACGCUGAGGUGCGAAAGCGUGGGGAGCAAACAGG
rnacentral:rRNA from 1 species